rnacentral:rRNA from 1 species
AGUGGAUGGGGAGCAACCUAGUUGUGCGUGUGUAAAGGUAGUGCCAAGAAAAGCGAUGAUCAUGUUGAAAAUCAAUUCCCGGUACCCGAAACCGACACAGGUGGGCAAGUAGAGAAUACUAAGGGGCGCGAGGUAACUCUCUCCAAGGAACUCGGCAAAAUGACCCCGUAACUUAGGGAGAAGGGGUGCCACCGAGAGGUGGUCGCAGUGAAGAGGCCCAGGCGACUGUUUAGCAAAAACAUAGGUCUCUGCAAACUCGAAAGAGGAGGUAUAGGGGCUGACGCCUGCCCAGUGCCGGAAGGUUAAAGAAGUUGGUCAGUCUUAGGAUGAAGCUAGCGACUGAAGCCCCGGUGAACAGCGGCCGUAACUAUAACGGUCCUAAGGUAGCGAAAUUCCUUGUCGGGUAAGUUCCGACCCGCACGAAAGGCGUAACGAUCUGGGCGCUGUCUCGGAGAGAGGCUCGGCGAAAUAGGAUUGUCUGUGAAGAUACGGACUACCUGCAUUUGGACAGAAAGACCCUAUGAAGCUUUACUAUAGCUUGGAAUAGUGUUCGGGCUUCCUGUGCGCAGGAUAGGUGGGAGGCGUAGAAGGUAUUCUUGUGGGGAUACUGGAGCCAACGGUGAGAUACCACUCUCAGGAGGCUAGAAUUCUAACUUAAUUAAGGACAGUUUCAGGUGGGUUGUUUGACCGGGGCGGUCGCCUCCAAAAAGGUAACGGAGGCGUACAAAGGUUCCCUCAGACUGGUUGGAAAUCAGUCGAAGAGUGCAAAGGCAGAAGGGAGCUUGACUGCGAGAAGUACAGUUCGAGCAGGGUGGAAACACGGUCUUAGUGAUCCGACGGUGCUGCGUGGAAGGGCCGUCGCUCAACGGAUAAAAGUUACUCUAGGAUAACAGGCUGAUCUCCCCCAAGAGUUCACAUCGACGGGGAGGUUUGGCACCUCGAUGUCGGCUCAUCGCAACCUGGGGCGGAAGUACGUCCCAAGGGUUGGGCUGUUCGCCCAUUAAAGCGGUACGUGAGCUGGGUUCAGAACGUCGUGAGACAGUUCGGUCCAUAUCCGAUGUAGGCGUGAGAAUAUUGAGAGGAGCCUUCCUUAGUACGAGAGGACCGGGAAGGACGCACCGCUGGUGUACCUGUUAUGAUGCCAAUUGUAAACGCAGGGUAGCCAAGUGCGGAGAGGAUAACCGCUGAAAGCAUCUAAGUGGGAAGCCCACCUCAAGAUGAGUAUUCUGGUGUAAGGUCACGGGAAGACGACCCGUAAAUAGGCACGAGGUGGAAGUGCAGAGAUGUAUGAAGCCGAAGUGUACUAAUAGACCGUCGGCUUGAC